rnacentral:rRNA from 1 species
AUGGCGCCAACUAAGGACGCCGAGCCGCCGCUGCACAUCCUCUUCUUCCCUUUCCUCCUUCCUGGCCACCUUAUCCCGAUGGCCGACAUGGCCGCGCUCUUCGCCGCUCGCGGCGUCAGGUGCACCGUCCUCACCACGCCCGUCCAAGCCUCCACCAUCCGCUCCGUCGUCGAUCGCGCGAACGGCAGCAGCGCCGCCGGCACCCCGAUGUCCAUCUCCGUCGUGCCUUUCCCCGACGUUGGGCUCCCGAUGGCCGCACAGAGCGGGAGGGACCUUGCUACCUCCAGGGACUACCACGACAGGUUCCUCCAGACGGUGGAGCUGCUCCGGGAGCCCUUCUGCCGGUUCCUGUCCGACCACCACGCCGACAUCGACGCCGUGGUCUCCGACAGCCUCUUCCACUGGUCCGCUCACGCCACCGCCGAGCACGGCCUCCCGCGCAUCGCGUUCCUCGCCACCAGCAUGUUCGCCCGUGCCUGCACCGACACCGUGCUCCGGAGCAACGUGUUUGAGUCGUGCUCUGACGACCACGGUGCCGUCGUAUCCCUGCCGGGGCUGCCGCACCGUGUCGAGCAGCGGCGGAGCCAGAUGAUGGACCCUGCAAAGCGGCCACAUGAGUGGGCUAUGUUCCAGCUCAUCCACGCCGCGGACCGGUCGAGCUACGGCGAGCUCUUCAAUAGCUUCCGCGUGCUGGAGCCGGGCUACGCCGAGCAUUAUCGUGCCACGCAGCUCCGCCGCCGCGCGUGGCUUGUCGGGCCGGUGGCGCUCGCAAGCGGCAGCCUCGAGGAUGUGGCGUCAAGAGGCGCCGUCGCCGGCGCGCUCUCGCCGGACGCCGCCGUGUGCCUGCGGUGGCUCGACGCCAAACUGGCCAGCUCGGUGGUGUACGUCUCCUUCGGCACGAUGACCAACUUUUCGCCAGAGCAGAUGCGGGAGCUCGCCCGCGGCCUCGACCUCUCCGGCAAGAACUUCGUGUGGGUCAUUGCCAAGGGCUCCACCGCCGCAUCUUCUGACCCGUCUACGCCAGACGGGUUCCCAACGGCAAACCGUGGGUACAUCGUCCGAGGAUGGGCGCCGCAGGUGCUCAUCCUGAACCACCCUGCCGUCGGCGGGUUCGUGACGCACUGCGGGUGGAACUCGACGCUGGAGGCCGUGAGCGCCGGCGUGCCGAUGGUGACGUGGCCGCGGUACGCCGACCAGUUCUACAACGAGAAACUCGUGGUUGAGGUGCUCGGCGUGGGUGUGGGCGUCGGCGCCGAAGACUACGCGUCGUGCCUGGAGACCCACCGGGUGAUCGCUGGCGAGGCGAUCGCGGAAUCCAUCCGGAGAGUGAUGGGGGAGGAGGGCGACGGCGCCGCCAUGCGGAAGAAGGCCAAGGAGCUCGGGGUGAUGCCGAGGGGCGCGGUGGAGAAGGGCGGGUCGUCGUACGACGAUGUAGGGCAGCUCAUGGAGGAGUUGAUCGCCCGCCGGAGUUCCGUCGGAUGUACCGCCGAUGGGUAA